rnacentral:rRNA from 1 species
UACGUAGGGGGCAAGCGUUGUCCGGAUUUAUUGGGCGUAAAGAGCUCGUAGGCGGCUUGUCGCGUCGACUGUGAAAUCCCGCGGCUCAACUGCGGGUCUGCAGUCGAUACGGGCAGACUGGAGUGCGGUAGGGGAGAAUGGAAUUCCUGGUGUAGCGGUGGAAUGCGCAGAUAUCAGGAGGAACACCGAUGGGCGAAGGC